AUGCAUCUCUAACAGACCUGGAGCAGCUAAUGCCUGCUACUAAGGCUUCCACCACAGAGGCUAGAGAAAAAGUUUCUCACACUUUCUAUUUGUCUGCUUGUGGCAGCCAAUACUGAAUGGAGAAUACAAGA
rnacentral:snoRNA from 1 species